rnacentral:lncRNA from 1 species
UAACAGGUCACCCAAAUUGUUUAACAUUUCCUGGAUAUCAGCAUACAUGGAAUCCAGGUUUGCAAGAAGUGCCUAAACAAAACCAACCAGAAUCACAUCAAAUGCACAGCCAACUCAUGUAAAAAGGAAUAGAUAGCUUGUAAGAAUUAAAUUUUAAGUGCUCUUGCAAUCUUGCACACACAGAAAAUGAUCCUACAUGAGAAGAUUAAGAAGCACGAACCUUCUAUUAAGAACAUCUUCAUCUGGUCCGCUAUGACUAUCAAGAUUGUUUCCAAUCUGAAUAAGAAAAUGACAAUAGUUAUUCGCAUUGCUAUUGAAAUUAGUCACUUAAUCUGAAAAGAACAUGUAGAAACACUCACAUGAUUGGCGAACCAAAGAACGAAUUCUCUAUGUACUUUUUUGUCUAGCUCAGAAGCAUUCCUUCCCCUCAUUUGUCUCUUUACAAUAGUUCUAUAUUGCCUACAUAGUUAAAUAUAUCAUGACAGAAGGGAGAGAUUGUAAAAAAGU